ACUCAAAUGAAUUGACGGGGGCCCGCACAAGCAGUGGAGUAUGUGGUUUAAUUCGAAGCAACGCGAAGAACCUUACCAGGGCUUGACAUCCCUCUGACUGAUCUGGAGACAGGUCUUCCCUUCGGGGCAGAGGAGACAGGUGGUGCAUGGUUGUCGUCAGCUCGUGUCGUGAGAUGUUGGGUUAAGUCCCGCAACGAGCGCAACCCUUGUUGUUAGUUGCCAGCAAUUUAGUUGGGCACUCUAGCAAGACUGCCGGUGAUAAAUCGGAGGAAGGUGGGGAUGACGUCAAAUCAUCAUGCCCCUUAUGUUCUGGGCUACACACGUACUACAAUGGCGACCACAAAGGGAAGCAAGGCCGCGAGGCGGAGCAAAUCCCCAAAAGUCGCCCCAGUUCAGAUUGCAGGCUGCAACUCGCCUGCAUGAAGGCGGAAUUGCUAGUAAUGGCAGGUCAGCAUACUGCCGUGAAUACGUUCCCGGGCCUUGUACACACCGCCCGU
rnacentral:rRNA from 1 species